rnacentral:rRNA from 1 species
GAUGAACGCUAGCGGCAGGCUUAAUACAUGCAAGUCGAGGGGCAGCAUGGUGUAGCAAUACACUGAUGGCGACCGGCAAACGGGUGCGGAACACGUACGCAACUUACCCAAAACUGGGGAAUAGCCCGGGGAAACCCGGAUUAAUACCUCGUAACAUAAUGAAGUGGCAUCACUUUAUUAUUAUAGCUCAGGCGGUUUUGGAUGGGCGUGAGCCUGAUUAGGUAGUUGGCGGGGUAAUAGCCCACCAAGCCUACGAUCAGUAACUGGUGUGAGAGCACGACCAGUCACACGGGCACUGAGACACGGGCCCGACUCCUACGGGAGGCAGCAGUAAGGAAUAUUGGUCAAUGGACGCAAGUCUGAACCAGCCAUGCCGCGUGAAGGAUGAAGGUCCUCUGGAUUGUAAACUUCUUUUAUAUGGGAAGAAAUCCAUCUUUUCUUGGGUGGUUGACGGUACCAUAGGAAUAAGCACCGGCUAACUCCGUGCCAGCAGCCGCGGUAA